rnacentral:rRNA from 1 species
UACAGAGGUCUCAAGCGUUGUUCGGAUUCACUGGGCGUAAAGGGUGCGUAGGUGGCCAGGUAAGUUCGGUGUGAAAGCUCGGAGCUUAACUCCGAAAUGUCAUUGAAUACUAUCUGGCUGGAGGGUCGGAGGGGAGACUGGAAUUCUCGGUGUAGCAGUGAAAUGCGUAGAUAUCGAGAGGAACACCAGUGGCGAAGGCGAGUCUCUGGACGACUCCUGACACUGAGGCACGAAAGCCAGGGGAGCAAACAGG